rnacentral:misc_RNA from 1 species
GAUGAAGAACGUAGCGAAAUGCGAUAAGUAAUGUGAAUUGCAGAAUUCAGUGAAUCAUCGAAUCUUUGAACGCACAUUGCGCCCGCCAGUAUUCUGGCGGGCAUGCCUGUUCGAGCGUCAUUACAACCCUCAGGCCCCCGGGCCUGGCGUUGGGGAUCGGCGGAGCCCCCCGUGGGCACACGCCGUCCCCCAAAUGCAGUGGCGGUCCCGCCGCAGCUUCCAUCGCGUAGUAGCUAACACCUCGCGACUCGAGAGCGGCGCGGCCACGCCGUAAAACACCCAACUCUUCUGAAGUUGACCUCGAAUCAGGUAGGAAUACCCGCUGAACUUAAGCAUAUCAAUAAGCGGAGGA